rnacentral:tRNA from 1 species
AUUGAAUUGUCAGAUUUAUGUAUUAAAUUUAGAAUUUAAUUAAGUAAUUUAAAUUACAUUCAAUA